rfam:Schistosoma mansoni, Puerto Rico, WGS project CABG01000000 data, contig: 0172
AGCCUUCUAAACCCAUGUCGAGAUUUCAUCACACACAAGACCAUCAGGACUGACGAGACUCCCAAGAUGGGUGAAGUU